UGCUACGGCCAUACCACCCUGAAUGCGCCUGAUCUUGUCUGAUCUCAUAAUUUAAGCAGGAUUGGGCCUGCUUAGAAGUUGGAUGAGAGGAAUUAACAUAUAAUCAGAGUGGGAUUAG
ensembl:rRNA 5S_rRNA 5S ribosomal RNA